UUUAUUAUCGUCAUUAGUGAUUAUCUCAAUUUCGGCUAAAAGAGUUGACAAAAUCCUACACACUGUGCCUUUAAGGCGUCUGCUCAUCAUGAAUAAAGUGAGCAUUUAUGUAUUUUUUUUUUCUUUCUAAUCUUUUUACCCUUGUUUUGCUGCUAUAACAGAUUUAAAGUUGUCACGUUUGAUCCUGAAGCUCCUGGAAACGUCUCAGUGAUUUUUACUGAAUGUGAAUCUGUCCGUACGUGUUCUGAACUGUGGCAGGAAUCCUAAUCGGCAACAUGCGUCUUGUAGUUUAUGUCCUGACAGUUGAUUUCCUUUUGCGCGAAAAUAAACAGCUAAUGUCGCUAAUGUUUGCCAGUUGACGUGCCGUGGGAUUUUUUAUGGGAUUUGCCAAAAUAAAUGUGAUGUUUUAUGAACCCAGACUGCCUGCUUUAGUGUGUCAGCAUUUUUCGGAAAUUUAGCGUGACCUUAAAGUUGAUUUAUAUAAUUUAGUUUGUUGCAAAACAAAUUUGAUUACAAUUUAAAGCAAUAAAAUGAUCAAAUCUAAGUUGUUUCUGACAGCAGGUUAGGUUAGUCUGUUUGGUGACCUUCAGGUUUAAUCCCUCUUGCAGCUGCUGACCUCCCAUCCUGGUUUUAAUAGCAGGAAAGAAAAAAAAAAAGGCAAAUACCGUAUCUGCAGUGAACCGAUCUGUCCGGUAAAAGGAAGUUCUAAACACGCCACCAUUUUUUUUUUAGAAGUGAAUGUCUUUAUUGCUGUUUUCUUUUACAACAAAAGUGUUUAACAAAACCAGAAUAUGUGAGUCAAAUGKUAUUUUAUUUUUGUAAACCCUUUUUUUUUAUCAACCUGAAGGACUUGUUAUGUUAAAAAUCAAKCAAAAACACAUGUUGUAUUGAUUUAAAAUAUAAAUUUGACUUUAUAUUUGUUGGAGCUUGUUGUUGGUGUGUAAAUAUUAAUGCUUAAAGUGUCAAUUUGCUGGAAGUAAUUGUUGAUUUCUCUCUGAGUUAAAAGGUUUUCUUGUAUUGUACYUAUUUGGGUCGGGUCGACAUGUUUUAGAUUCGACUAUUUUUGGUUUCCAUCUUAAGUGGGUCAGUUGUUUGAAUUACUUGUUAAAUAUUCAGGUGCAACAAUCAGUUUGUGUUAAUCAAAACCUAAAAUCUGCUUGUUUGUUCAAGAUUAUUGGUAUCCUCUGUUGAGCUGUUUGUGAAAAAUGACUGAUUCGGCUGUAAAACUGAGCCGAUCCGACUCAGUGCUGUCAUCAAAGAAAAGCAGAAAAACUGGUGUGUAUCUGAUUGAUUUGACUUUUUGUUUUAGGUGCAGGAAAGUUGAAGAUGAAUUACUUUGACUCAAGCAAGUAACUCAGCAAAGUAUUUUAUUUUUUACGUGUGUAAAAAUCCUGGAAAAAUCCUGCUCAUGUCAAAGAUGCUAAUUGUCGAGUUUUUAUUGGGUUUGAGUCAUGAAGUCGUAACGUUUUCCUUGUAAAAUAAAUCAGUUGGAGCUGUGAAGACUUUUUAAACAACAAAAAGGUUGUUUUUUUUUUAGGGAAGUUUGUGGAAAACAAGUUUGGCCCAGAUGUUUUGGUUCCUCUGUUUUUACGACGGAAUAAACCAACUUCCUCUGAAGCGUUAAAUGUUUAAAGGGGYAAAAAAGAAUAAAAUAAAGGCUUGAGAUAUUUCUUCAUUUCUCCUUUUUAUGCUUUUUUUUGUAGCAGAGAAAUACAUUCACACUGUCUGCAAUGAACAGUUUCUAUGAGCUGUAAUGAAUAUUUGACAAAAACCUAAAUAUGCUCAAGACGUGCAAAGGCUAAUAUCUGCUGCUAAUCUGAUUAAUGACCCUCCUGCUGUCAAAAGUACCUCAGAGACCUCUGUUUUGACCCAWGAGCAGCAGGAGGGUUUAAAGGUGUAAGCAUGAGUUACAGAUGAAACAAUGUAAGACAAUGUAACAGUUUUACAGUAAAUAACAAAGCUUUGGGUUUGUUAACUUUAUAGUCUGGUCCCAUAAAGCGUCUAUUUUUACAGAGCUUCAGACUGCCGACGUCUAAUACAAACUUUCAGGUUUAUUCUUAGCUUAACGAGGCAGACGUGAGCAAAAAUGCUCGCAUCCUGUCAGAAACAACACUUUUUAUGGGACGAAUCACACGGCUGGGGCAACCGCUUCAGUUCAAAUGUUUCUGGUGGUUCUAGUCAACAAAGAGGAUACCACAAAGAGAUCAUCAAAAAAAAAAAAAAA